rnacentral:rRNA from 1 species
UGGCGGACGGGUGAGUAAUGUCUGGGAAACUGCUUGAUGGAGGGGGGUAACUACUGGAAACGGUAGCUAAUACCGCAUAACGUCGCAAGACCAAAGAGGGGGACCUUAGGGCCUCUUGCCAUCGGAUGUGCCCAGAUGGGAUUAGCUAGUAGGUGGGGUAACGGCUCACCUAGGCGACGAUCCCUAGCUGGUCUGAGAGGAUGACCAGCCACACUGGAACUGAGACACGGUCCAG